GAGUUUGAUCUUGGCUCAGGAUGAACGCUGGCGGCGUGCUUAACACAUGCAAGUCGAGCGAAGCGCUUAAACGGAUUUCUUCGGAUUGAAGUUUUAGUGACUGAGCGGCGGACGGGUGAGUAACGCGUGGGCAACCUGCCCCAUACCGGGGGAUAACAGCUGGAAACGGCUGCUAAUACCGCAUAAGCGCACAGUGCCGCAUGGCACGGUGUGAAAAACUCCGGUGGUAUGGGAUGGGCCCGCGUUGGAUUAGCCAGUUGGCAGGGUAACGGCCUACCAAAGCGACGAUCCAUAGCCGGCCUGAGAGGGCGACCGGCCACAUUGGGACUGAGACACGGCCCAAACUCCUACGGGAGGCAGCAGUGGGGAAUAUUGCACAAUGGGGGAAACCCUGAUGCAGCGACGCCGCGUGAGCGAAGAAGUAUUUCGGUAUGUAAAGCUCUAUCAGCAGGGAAGAAAUGACGGUACCUGACUAAGAAGCCCCGGCUAACUACGUGCCAGCCGCCGCAGUAAC
rnacentral:rRNA from 1 species